AUUGAACGCUGGCGGCAGGCCUAACACAUGCAAGUCGAGCGGAUGAAGGGAGCUUGCUCCUGGAUUCAGCGGCGGACGGGUGAGUAAUGCCUAGGAAUCUGCCUGGUAGUGGGGGAUAACGUCCGGAAACGGGCGCUAAUACCGCAUACGUCCUGAGGGAGAAAGUGGGGGAUCUUCGGACCUCACGCUAUCAGAUGAGCCUAGGUCGGAUUAGCUAGUUGGUUGGGUAAAGGCCUACCAAGGCGACGAUCCGUAACUGGUCUGAGAGGAUGAUCAGUCACACUGGAACUGACACACGGUCCAGACUCCUACGGGAGGCAGCAGUGGGGAAUAUUGGACAAUGGGCGAAAGCCUGAUCCAGCCAUGCCGCGUGUGUGAAGAAGGUCUUCGGAUUGUAAAGCACUUUAAGUUGGGAGGAAGGGCAGUAAGUUAAUACCUUGCUGUUUUGACGUUACCAACAGAAUAAGCACCGGCUAACUUCGUG
rnacentral:rRNA from 1 species